CCGCAUACAGCCACGAGUACUUGAGCUGGUUGUGUGGAGCUCAAGACAAAAUGUUUCCAUACUUUCUCCUGUGUCGCUUUAAAGUCUGGAUCCAAAUGGAAAUCACCACCCUGGAAAAGGUGUCAUGACUCCAACCUCCAUCUUUACAUGAUCAGACCACGUGUCCGAGCAGCAGGAAGUCACUGUCCUACAGGAGGAGGACCUCCGUAAAGUGAACAUGCUGGUACUUGUGAGGAUGAGCCUUGUCGAGCCUAGAGGAGAAACAUGCAGAGCAUGUGCUGUGAUUCAAGCUCUCAGUCCUGAAGCCGUCCCCGCACACUGAAGCAGCUGUGAUCUCCAGCCGGUGAAGAACGGCCGGGCGAUGGUACGUUUGUACACUGAGGCGGUGUGGCCUAGGGGGUAGAGUGGGCGUUUUCCAACAUGAAGGUUGCCGGUCAAUCCCCACUUCCCCAUCUGCCAAAGUGUCCUUGGCAAGAUACUGAACCCCUAAAUGGCCCCUCAAAAAUGUCGAGUGUACGAAUGUAAGUCGCUUUGGACAAAAGCGUCAGCUAAAUAACAUGUAAUAUUAUUCAUAGCCCUUUAAAUGCUAGAGGAGGCACGGACGAAUUCUGUUCCAGCUGCUCUGUGUUGGACACAGUCAGACACCAUGCAAAAGUAUCGUCUCAUUCCUGCUAUAUGACUGGAUGUGUGCUGUUCUGUGCCGCAUCUUACUCGGCGGGAAUGAGUACAGUGACGCACGAGGAAACUGAAGAUGCUGCUCUGUCAAUUUCUUUUCGUUUUUUCAUUUUUUGUUAAAUUCUACAGAGCAGCAGAUGUCUGUGGCUGAAGCUGGGCUGAGGAAGAACUGUCCACUCCAACUCGUGAAUCAUCAUUGGAAGGCAGAUCUAAUACGUGUGCUCCAUGCCCAUGGAUGAGUUCUAUCAAAGAUGUAGUGGAUGUGAAUGUACCUCCCUCUUUUUAUAAUAAACUUGAAACUGGUUUCA